CCCCCGGGUAGAGCUCCAUGAUUGGUCACUGCUCGCGCGGUCUCCUGGGUGACGGGAACGCGUUAGCCCUCCUGGAGCUGACUCUCCGCGCCUGCGCACUUUCCGGAUCGCGCGGCCGCUCUAGCCUUGAGAUGAAGCGUGUUUUCUCACUGCUAGAGAAGAGUGGGCCUGGCACACCAAUACAGUUCACCUGGCAAAAAAAAUCAGGAAACUACCUUGCAGUAACAGGAGCUGAUCAUAUUGUGAAAAUCUUUGAUCGCCAUGGUCAAAAAAGAAGUGAAAUUAACUUACCUGGUAACUGUGUUGCUAUGGAUUGGGAUAAAGAUGGAGAUAUCCUAGCAGUGAUUGCUGAGAAAUCUAGUUGCAUUUAUCUGUGGGAUGCCAACACAAAUAAAACCAGCCAAUUAGACAGUGGUAUGAGGGAUCAAAUGUCUUUUCUUCUUUGGUCAAAAAUUGGAAGUGUCCUGGCUGUUGGAACUGUUAAAGGAAAUUUGCUUAUUUAUAAUCGUCAGACAUCUCGAAAGAUUCCUGUGCUGGGAAAACAUACUAAGAGAAUCACAUGUGGAUGUUGGAAUGCAGAAAAUCUGCUUGCUUUAGGUGGUGAAGAUAAAAUGAUUACAGUUAGCAAUCAGGAAGGUGACACGAUAAGACAGACAGCAGUGAGAUCAGAGCCUAGUAACAUGCAGUUUUCCAUGAUGAAGACUGAUGAUCGAAUGUCUGCUGCUGAAAGCACAAUCAGUGUAGUGGUUGGCAAGAAAACUUUGUUUCUUUAUAAUCUGAAUGAACCAGAUAACCCAAUUGAUCUGGAAUUUCAGCAGCAUUAUGGGAACAUUGUCUCCUAUAGCUGGUAUGGUGAUGGCUACAUCAUGAUUGGUUUUUCACGUGGAAUUUUUGUGGUCCUCUCCACUUAUAUUCGAGAGAUUGGCCAAGAGGUAUUUCAGGCUCGUGACCACAAAGAUCGUCUAACCAGUAUUGCAGUAUCACAGACCCUUAGUAAAGCUGCUACAUGUGGUGAUAAUUGUAUUAAAAUUCAUGACUUGGCAGAACUGAAAGACAUGUAUGCUAUAAUCAACCUGGACGAUGAAAAUAAAGGUUUGGGCACGUUGUCCUGGACAGAUGAUGGCCAGUUGCUGGCAUUGUCUACCCAAAGGGGCUCUCUGCAUGUUUUCCUGACCAAGCUUCCCAUACUCGGGGAUGCCUGCAGCACAAGGAUCGCGUACCUCACCUCCCUCCUUGAAGUCACCGUAGCCAACCCUGUUGAAGGAGAGCUGCCAAUCACAGUUUCUGUUGACGUGGAACCCAAUUUUGUAGCAGUAGGGCUUUAUCAUCUGGCCGUGGGAAUGAAUAAUCGGGCUUGGUUUUAUGUCCUCGGAGAGAAUGCUGUUAAAAAAUUGAAAGAUGUGGAGUAUCUGGGGACAGUUGCCAGUGUUUGCCUUCAUUCUGACUAUGCUGCUGCACUUUUUGAAGGCAAAGUCCAGUUGCAUUUGAUAGAAAGUGAGAUCUUGGAUGCUCAAGAAGAACGUGAGACUCGGCUUUUCCCAGCAGUGGAUGAUAAGUGCCGUAUUUUAUGCCAUGCCUUAACUGGUGAUUUCCUCAUCUACGGUACAGAUACUGGUGUUAUUCAGUAUUUCUACAUUGAAGACUGGCAAUUUGUUAAUGAUUAUCGACAUCCUGUCAGCGUGAAAAAGAUUUUUCCUGACCCAAAUGGAACCAGAUUAGUUUUCAUUGAUGAAAAAAGUGAUGGAUUUGUCUACUGUCCAGUUAAUGAUGCUACCUAUGAGAUUCCAGACUUUUCACCAACCAUCAAAGGUGUUCUUUGGGAAAACUGGCCAAUGGAUAAAGGCGUAUUUAUUGCAUACGAUGAUGAUAAGGUAUACACUUACGUCUUUCACAAGGACACGAUACAAGGAUCCAAGGUCAUUUUGGCUGGAGGCACCAAAGUCCCCUUCUCUCAUAAACCUUUGCUGUUAUAUAAUGGAGAGCUGACCUGCCAGACGCAGAGUGGAAAAAUCAACAACAUGUACCUGAGCACGCACAGGUUCCUCGACAGUUUAAAAGAUGUGGGGCCUAAUGAGCUGAGGCAAAUGCUGACACAGACUUUAAUGCUCAAGAGGUUUUCAGAUGCUUGGGAAAUGUGCAAAAUUCUGAACGAUCACACUGCCUGGAAUGAGCUGGCCAGAGCUUGUCUCCAUCACAUGGAAGUGGAGUUUGCAAUUCGCGUCUAUCGGACAAUUGGAAAUGUGGGCAUAGUGAUGUCCUUGGAACAGAUAAAGGGAAUAGAAGACUACAAUCUUUUGGCAGGACAUCUUGCCAUGUUUACUAAUGACUUCAACCUGGCUCAGGACCUGUACCUUGCGUCCAGCUGUCCUGUUGCUGCCCUGGAGAUGAGAAGGGAUCUACAGCAUUGGGACAGUGCCCUGCAACUGGCCAAGCGGUUAGCCCCAGACCAGAUACCGUUUAUAUCAAAAGAAUAUGCUAUUCAGCUUGAAUUCACGGGUGAUUAUGUAAAUGCUUUGGCUCAUUAUGAGAAAGGAAUAACUGGUGAUCAUAAGGAACAUGAUGAACUGUGUCUGGCUGGAGUGGCCCAGAUGUCCAUACGAAUGGGAGACAUACGCCGAGGAGUUAACCAGGCCCUGAAGCAUCCCAGCAGGGUCCUGAAAAGAGACUGUGGAGCUAUCUUGGAGAAUAUGAAGCAAUUUUCAGAAGCAGCCCAACUGUAUGAAAAAGGUCUCUAUUUUGACAAAGCAGCCUCUGUUUACAUCCGCUGUAAGAAUUGGGCAAAAGUUGGUGAGCUUCUGCCUCGUGUUGCUUCCCCAAAGAUUCACCUGCAGUAUGCCAAAGCAAAAGAAGCAGAUGGAAGAUACAAAGAAGCUGUUGUGGCUUAUGAGAAUGCAAAACAAUGGAACAGCGUAAUCCGCAUCUAUCUGGAUCACCUCAACAAUCCCGAAAAGGCUGUCAGUAUUGUCAGAGAGACCCAGUCUUUGGAUGGCGCCAAAAUGGUAGCCAGGUUUUUCCUACAGUUGGGUGACUACGGGUCUGCCAUCCAGUUUCUCGUUAUGUCUAAAUGUAAUAAUGAAGCUUUCACACUGGCUCAGCAGCACAACAAAAUGGAAAUCUAUGCAGACAUUAUUGGUUCUGAAGAUACUACUAAUGAAGACUAUCAAAGUAUUGCCUUAUAUUUUGAAGGAGAAAAAAGACAUUUUCAGGCUGGAAAAUUCUUCUUGCUGUGUGGCCAAUAUUCACGAGCGCUUAAACAUUUCCUGAAAUGUCCAAGCUCAGAAGAUAAUGCGGCAAUAGAAAUGGCAAUUGAAACUGUUGGUCAAGCCAAAGAUGAACUGCUGACCAAUCAGCUGAUAGACCACCUUAUGGGAGAGAGUGAUGGCAUGCCUAAGGAUGCCAAGUACCUGUUCCGCUUGUACAUGGCCCUGAAACAAUCCCGAGAAGCUGCCCGGACUGCCAUCAUCAUUGCCAGAGAAGAGCAGUCUGCAGGAAACUAUCGGAAUGCCCACGACGUUCUCUUUAGUAUGUAUGCAGAACUUAAAUCCCAGAAGAUCAAGAUUCCCUCGGAGAUGGCUACCAACCUCAUGAUUCUGCACAGCUAUAUACUAGUGAAGAUUCACGUUAAAAAUGGAGAUCAUAUGAAAGGGGCACGUAUGCUUAUUCGGGUGGCCAACAACAUCAGCAAGUUUCCGUCACACAUUGUGCCAAUCCUGACGUCUACUGUGAUCGAGUGUCACAGAGCAGGCCUGAAGAACUCUGCUUUCAGCUUCGCUGCUAUGCUGAUGAGGCCCGAGUACCGCAACAAAAUAGACCCCAAAUACAAAAAGAAGAUUGAGGCAAUGGUCAGGAGACCUGAUACAUCUGAGACAGAAGAAGCCACAACCCCAUGUCCAUUCUGUGAAUUUCUUCUCCCAGAGUGUGAACUCCUCUGUCCUGGAUGUAAAAAUAACAUCCCAUAUUGCAUUGCAACAGGUCGACAUAUGUUGAAAGAUGAUUGGACUGUGUGUCCACAUUGCGAUUUCCCUGCUCUGUACUCAGAAUUUAAGAUCUUGUUAAACACUGAAAGCACAUGUCCUAUGUGUUCAGAAAGAUUAAACUUUGCUCAACUAAAAAAAAUCUCAGACUGUACCCAGUACCUGCGAACAGAGGUGGAGCAGUGAGCGGCAUGUGCAGAAUCCAGUGCCGGGCCUGUGCUGUGUCUGGGUGUCUUUACUGCUUGAAGUGAAUAUGGAGUAAGGUGGACUUCCUUAUUGUAGGUUCUUGUGAAGGCUGCUUUCACCUAUAGAAAAGGAACAGAAAGAGUCUGUUAAAAAUGAGGCACAAAGCCACUCCAGGCCUUCCAGGAUGGACUCGUCUGGAAGAUUUUGUCUUCCCCCACCAUCUUCUCUGUUAAAAUAACUCCAAUGUGUCCACCUCCGAGUGAAGAAUUACGAUUGAAAAUCAGAAAAGUCCUCAUCCUCCCCAAACUCCCUUAUAAGCUAUGAAUAGCAGCCAUAUGACAGCUCUGGCCAAUGAGACUUAAGGGGAAUUCUACAAGAGGUAUUUCCAGGAAAACUCUUAUAAAGCCAAUCACAACAAGUGUGACAUCAUGCCAUGCUUCCUUUUUCCUGCCUUAAAUGGGGACCUGAAUGCCUACAGCUAUAGUUACCUUGUAACACAAAGCAAGGUGCACAGAGACCAAAGCUAACACAAUCAAGAUGUCACAGAUGGGGAAUGGAAGUAGCCUAGCUACAUCACAGAGCUGCUGGGCCAUCCGCUGCAACUGCCUAUCUCUGGGAUUCUUGUCAGGUAAGAAAAUAAGCAGCUAUUUGCCAAACCACAGUUAUCAGAUACUCUGUUACUUGGCUAAACAUAAUUUUCCCCAACACAAAAAGAGCUUUCAAUAAACAAAACUUAAGAUGGA